UCUGGCUCAGAUUGAACGCUGGCGGCAGGCCUAACACAUGCAAGUCGAGCGGAAACGAGUUAUCUGAACCUUCGGGGAACGAUAACGGCGUCGAGCGGCGGACGGGUGAGUAAUGCCUAGGAAAUUGCCUUGAUGUGGGGGAUAACCAUUGGAAACGAUGGCUAAUACCGCAUAAUGCCUACGGGCCAAAGAGGGGGACCUUCGGGCCUCUCGCGUCAAGAUAUGCCUAGGUGGGAUUAGCUAGUUGGUGAGGUAAUGGCUCACCAAGGCGACGAUCCCUAGCUGGUCUGAGAGGAUGAUCAGCCACACUGGAACUGAGACACGGUCCAGACUCCUACGGGAGGCAGCAGUGGGGAAUAUUGCACAAUGGGCGAAAGCCUGAUGCAGCCAUGCCGCGUGUAUGAAGAAGGCCUUCGGGUUGUAAAGUACUUUCAGUUGUGAGGAAGGGGAUGUCGUUAAUAGCGGCAUCUCUUGACGUUAGCAACAGAAGAAGCACCGGCUAACUCCGUGC
rnacentral:rRNA from 1 species